UCUCUCUCUCUCUCUCUCUCUCCAAACGCAUAAAACUUCUAGAUUCAUCUCUCUAUUUUAUUUCUUCAUCUCUCCAUCUAUCCUUCUGUGAACGAACCCUAAUCGUCAAUAGUUCGAGAUUUUGUACUGCUUUUUGAAAUUCAGAUGGCAAGACCGUUAAUAGAUCAAACCCUGUUUGAUUUUAUGGGUUUCAAUAAAGAAUCGUUGAAGGUGUUCAAGAUUUCAUGGGUUUCCAUGAAGAAUAAUUGAAGGUGUUCAAGGGUUGUUCAAAGGAUGUGAUGUUUCUUUCAUCAGUCAAUCUUUUAUGUUUUUGUUACUUAUUUGUUAGUUUUGGUUUAUGAUUACAUAGAAUAAAUGAUUUUUAUGAGAAGAAACAAGUAGAUCUAGUUCAUCGACUCAUCACUAGGUAUGUUGUUAUUAUUACAGGUUUCUUUUAAUCCCAAUUGAGACGCAAGGCUUCUUAUAUUGUGGUUUAUGAGUUUAGUAGUAAUUGGUUUAUGUAAAUUAUAUUUAGUGAGAAAUCUGUUUUUUUGCAACUGUUAUAUUAGCACAUGCCAAUUGGAAAA